GAAGUCAUCGUCGAUCAACGAGAUGGUU
rnacentral:sRNA from 1 species